UUAGCUCAGUUGGAUCUGGGUUCCCCAUGGGUCCGAGGCAAACAAGGCCGGGAUUUCCCGUAAGAUGAAUGGUGAUGCGAUGUCUAACCGCCUAAGAAAGGAAAGGGGGUGCGAAAGUAAGAAAUAGAUCUAAAGUAAAUGUAUUACCGAUAAAGGAAAGAUUCGGUGAUGACCUCUGGGAUGAAGUUCCUUGUAGUCGGCGGGAUCGCCGGUGCAGCUGCAGAGGAUGAGGCCGCCAUUGGGAUCGCCAUUGGGAUCUCGGAAGAAGCUUCGACUUUCGCUAAUGGAGCUCCUUCUUCCGACGACGGGGCCACCACUGUCGCUACCU
rnacentral:lncRNA from 1 species